AGGCCGUCAGCCAGGAGCCUUUGGAGCCGGAACCAGUGUGACACCGUCGUCAUCACCGUAUUACAUCAUCCAAGUCCACGAGGAGUUUCUGUGCAACCAGAACGAACUCACCGGGCCAGGCUGCAAGUUUUUUAAAGAGAGGCCCCCAGGCUACUUUUGGGCCAGAAUCAUCUGGGGAUUCCUGUGCCUGACCCUGAAUCUUCCAAACCAGGUGUGAGGUGAGACCCGGAAAUCUGCACUCUGCCUGCGUGCCCCUGGGGACUCAUGCAAACUCACCCACAUUUCCGAACUGAACUACGGUUGAAAGCGACUGCCCCGACCUUUCCCUCAAUCCCCACCUCUGGUUCUCUGGUUCCCCGGCCCAGUCUUGCCCCUUGACCUGCCUGGAGAUUGGGUCUUGCUGUCCCUGUUCCCCUAAGCUUAUUGUCUGCCAUCAAAACUGCCCAUCCUGCUGUCCCCUCACUCUUUCUGUACUGUUUGUUGGUAGUGAGUGCCCACUCUAGGGGGUACCCACCCAGAGACAGAGGGGAGAGGAGACAGGUGCUCUGGUGGGAGAGGUGGAUUCCACGCUCACAGGAUAUUUGGAUUAAAAAAACCCCAAACUCC